UGAGACCGGCUUUUUGGGAUUCGCUCCACCUUACGGUAUCGCAGCCCUCUGUACCGGCCAUUGUAGCAUGCGUGAAGCCCAAGACAUAAGGGGCAUGAUGAUUUGACGUCAUCCCCACCUUCCUCCGAGUUGACCCCGGCAGUCUCCCAUGAGUCCCCGGCAUAACCCGCUGGCAACAUAGGACGAGGGUUGCGCUCGUUGCGGGACUUAACCCAACAUCUCACGACACGAGCUGACGACAACCAUGCACCACCUGUGUACGAGUGUCCAAAGAGAACCCCGUCUCGGGGGCUUUCUCGUACAUGUCAAGCCUUGGUAAGGUUCUUCGCGUUGCAUCGAAUUAAUCCGCAUGCUCCGCCGCUUGUGCGGGCCCCCGUCAAUUCCUUUGAGUUUUAGCCUUGCGGCCGUACUCCCCAGGCGGGGCACUUAAUGCGUUAGCUGCGGCACGGAACUCGUGGAAUGAGCCCCACACCUAGUGCCCAACGUUUACGGCAUGGACUACCAGGGUAUCUAAUCCUGUUUGCUCCCCAUGCUUUCGCUCCUCAGCGUCAGUUGCGGCCCAGAGACCUGCCUUCGCCAUCGGUGUUCCUCCUGAUAUCUGCGCAUUCCACCGCUACACCAGGAAUUCCAGUCUCCCCUACCGCACUCUAGUCUGCCCGUACCCGAUGCAAGCCCGAGGUUGAGCCUCGGGAUUUCACACCAGACGCGACAGACCGCCUACGAGCUCUUUACGCCCAAUAAUUCCGGACAACGCUUGCGCCCUACGUAUUACCGCGGCUGCUGGCACGUAGUUAGCCGGCGCUUCUUCUGCAGGUACCGUCACUUGCGCUUCUUCCCUGCUGAAAGAGGUUUACAACCCGAAGGCCGUCAUCCCUCACGCGGCGUCGCUGCAUCAGGCUUGCGCCCAUUGUGCAAUAUUCCCCACUGCUGCCUCCCGUAGGAGUCUGGGCCGUGUCUCAGUCCCAGUGUGGCCGGUCGCCCUCUCAGGCCGGCUACCCGUCGACGCCUUGGUAGGCCAUCACCCCACCAACAAGCUGAUAGGCCGCGAGCCCAUCCCCCACCGAAAAACUUUCCAACCCACACCAUGCGAUGCGAGCUCAUAUCCGGUAUUAGACCCCGUUUCCAAGGCUUAUCCCGAAGUGGAGGGCAGGUUGCUCACGUGUUACUCACCCGUUCGCCACUGAUCCACCCAGCAAGCUAGGCUUCAC
rnacentral:rRNA from 1 species